rnacentral:rRNA from 1 species
UACGUAGGGUGCAAGCGUUAAUCGGAAUUACUGGGCGUAAAGCGUGCGCAGGCGGUGAUGUAAGACAGAUGUGAAAUCCCCGGGCUCAACCUGGGAACUGCAUUUGUGACUGCAUCGCUGGAGUACAGCAGAGGGGGAUGGAAUUCCGCGUGUAGCAGUGAAAUGCGUAGAUAUGCGGAGGAACACCGAUGGCGAAGGCAAUCCCCUGGGCCUGUACUGACGCUCAUGCACGAAAGCGUGGGGAGCAAACAGG